rnacentral:rRNA from 1 species
CAGUAGCCGCGGUAAUACGAAGGGGGCUAGCGUUGUUCGGAAUUACUGGGCGUAAAGCGCACGUAGGCGGACAUUUAAGUCAGGGGUGAAAUCCCGGGGCUCAACCCCGGAACUGCCUUUGAUACUGGGUGUCUAGAGUAUGGAAGAGGUGAGUGGAAUUCCGAGUGUAGAGGUGAAAUUCGUAGAUAUUCGGAGGAACACCAGUGGCGAAGGCGGCUCACUGGUCCAUUACUGACGCUGAGGUGCGAAAGCGUGGGGAGCAAACAGGAUUAGAUACCCCAGUAGUCCCUGUCUCUUAUAA